ACAACUGUUUGCUCCUUUCUCUGUUAUACUAGCAGUCUCCAUUUUCAUGUCUGUUUCUCCCAUGAGAAAGAGCACCUUGAGGACAGGAAUUGAGCUUUGGUUGCUUUUGUGACUCAGCACGUGGCACAGCACCAGGCAUAUUGUACGUGCUCAGUACAUAUUUGAGGGAUGAGGCUAUGCGUCUCCAUAAUUAUAGACUUGUGCAUUUUAAUAAUAUAGCUACUGGAAACAACCCCACAAAAUAACAAACACCCAAAGGACCCAUCAUAAGCCUAGCCAGGAGUCACUGAGAAAAUAAUAAUCAUAUUGAGCCCCCUGAUUUCCUCAUAGCUGACUGGACUCCCUGGGCAGGCUUUAUUCACCUGUCCAGGGUCUCUCUGUGGGAGCUGGCUCAGACCUGUGGAGGACCCUCUGACCCUGCUCAGUUGCUCUGUGAGCCCAAGAAUGGGCUCUUGAAUAUUCCAGACAGAAUGGGUGAAAACCAGAGACCUCUGAGAUGUCUUGGACUCUAGCUCAGGGUGACGCUGGGGUCUCCAAGGCCACUCAAAAUGAGAAUAUGGCAAGGCUUGGGACCCUACUGUAGCCCAGAGUCAAUAAAUUUCCCAAAUUCUGGGAAAUGUGUUCAUUCAUUUAUUCAUACAGAUAUAUUUAUGCAAUUUGUCAGGUUCAAUGAUAAACAAAAGCAGAGAUGGUCCUUGAUUUUGCAGAGCUUACAAGCUAGUGAGAAAAUAGGCAUAAUCAAAUGAAUGAACUAUUACAAACUGAUAUAUGAAAGCAUUAAAAAAUACCCAAACUUGAACUUGUCAGGACAUCCCAAGAUGCUCUUGAGGAAUUAAUGUGUAAACUUUGAUCUAAAAGAUGAGUAGGAGUUAAACAGGUGUUGAGGAGGUGGGAAGGGUGUUCCAUGGGGAAGGAAUAAUAUGUGCAAAAGCCCUGGGGUCAGAGGCACCUGGUAUAUUUAAAUAGCUGGAAAAAGACGUAUUUGACAGGAACACGGAAAAUGAGGGGUAUGGCAGAGGAGCUGAGAAGGGCAGCCAGACUGGGCAGGGUCUUAGACGCCUUUUCAGGAUUUUGGUCUUUUGCCUAUAAGCAAUGGAAAGUUGCUGAAGAAUUUUUAAUCAGGGAUAUGAAAUAAUCGUAUUUGUAUUUUGAAAACAACACUCUGGCUGCUUUGGAGAGCACAUGUUGGAAGGUUCUAGAAGCCGGAUAGCUUAUUUAAAAAGAUAUACAGAUAAUUCAAAGAAGAAAAUAGUGGUUUAAACCAGGGUGGUGGUAGUGGAUGAUGGAGAACGUGGAUGGGCCUGAGAUGAUGGUAUUAUUCACCGAGAUAGGAAACCUUAGAAAAGGACACUACUUGCAGGGAAGAUCUUGAUUUCAGUCUUGGGGCUGAGUUAAAGUACCUUUGAGACAUCUAAGUAGAAAUGUUGCUUAGGCAGACACACAGAUAUUAAUUCACGUAUUCAACACAUAUUUAUUGACUACCUGCUGCAUGUUAGUCACUCUAUUAAGAACUGUAUGUUACAGGAAAAUAUAUUGAAGUUGGAUUCUUCUCUCAGGAGCUUAGAAUUUAUUAGACAGUCAUGAGGAAUGGUUGGACCUGAUAGCUAUCUUCAAAUAUUUGAAUACAUGAAGGUAAACUUACUCUGUGUUGCUCCGGAAGGCAUAACAAGGACAAAAAUAGGAAGUUAUGGGGAGGCAGAUUUUGAUUUGGUAUAGGAAAUGAUUUUUUUAAAUAAGAACUGUCAUUGAAAAUAUUUGAAUUGAGUCUGGAUGAUAAUUUAUUCAAUCAAUAUUUAAUGAACAUGUAAAUUGAAUGGAGAGAUUCCUGCUUGACCUUUAAGAUCCUUUUGGCUUUCAAAUUCAAUGAUUCUAAUUUUCUGUUUAAAAUCUUAAUUGUUCAUAAUGAAGGUCACGACUCAAAUUUCCUUGAAUCCAUUUCCUAAUUUGGCCUCUACCUAUACAAUCCCUGUGAACUUUCAAGGUGGCAUAAUGAGUCCCUUCGUGAGGCCAUGGAACCUUCAGAAUGUACAAUGUGUUGUAUGAUAGAAUAACAUUCUCUUAGAAGGCUGUCUGUGGCCUGCUCUGGUGCAGACAAAGAGGCAUGCUUACAUGGUUUUAGAUCCCCUUCUUUUGUCUUGCCUCCCACUCAUAGCUACAGUUCCACAAUGUUGGAUGAUCUGUUUCAAGUGCAGCCCAUUGAUGGCACUGUCCUGGACAGAGGGUUCCUCCUCCUUGCUGCCUUUGGCCAUCAGCUUGACCUUGAGUUGAAGGUAUGUGGUACAAGAUGCUGGGUUUCAUCAGACAAUCCAUGAUGGUGCAGUAAAAAGUAUAUCGACUCAAUAAAUAUUAAUUCAUUUUCUAAUUUGCUUAUGAUGAAUGAGAAUGGUCAUACCUAGAAUUUAUGUAAUACUUUCUUCCAAGAAGCAUACAAGGACACAAUAUUACCCCGAUAAGAAUAUUUAUGAUAUUAGUAACACAAAUAAUCUAAACCUGAUUUGGAGAUGACUGAUUGCUCAUCAGCGAGUCCCACACCUUGCUGCACAUUAGAGUCCUUCAAGAGAUUUUUUACAAAUAAUAGAUUCUUUGGUGGCAUUUGGGAAAAAUUAACUUAUAUUUUUACACCUCCAUUAUUGAACUUACAUUUUCGAUAAUGAUGGAUUUCCUAGACCAAUGCUUCUCAAAUCCUAACAUACAUAUAACUCACCUGGGGACUCUCGUUAAAAUGCAGAUUCUGAUUCAGUAGAUCUGGGGUGAUGCAUGAGAUUCUGCAUUCUGAAAAACUUCCAGAUGAUGCUGAUGCUGUUGGUAUAGACCACACUUGUAUAGCAAGGCCUUAAACCAGUGGUUUUCAACCCCAGGGGGAGGAAAGGGCAGGAGAAGGGGAAAGAGUUUGGAUUAUUAAUACCUAGGAAGCCAGAGCUCCAGGCCCACACCAGUUCAAUAAAAAUCUCUGAGGAUAUAUCCCAGACUUUAGUAUUUUUAAAGAAUUUCCCCCAGAAAAUUCAAAUAUGCAUAUAGAAUUGAGAACUAUUUUCUAGAGAUGCCUUGACUGCAUCUAACAUCCAUUUCUCUGUGGUCAGGGCAGGAGAAUUUGGACACAUUUUCUUUGUAUUAAAAAAACAAUAGUUCCUCUUCUGUUUAUGGUAGCAUGUCUCAAAGCAUGUCCUUGGACCAUCUGCAUCAGAAUCACUUAGGGUACUUGUUAUAAAUUCAUAUUCCUGAGUCUGCCCCCAGAUAGAUUGAGUUAGAAUGUUUUAGCCUAAGCUCAAAAAUCUGUUUUGGAAGCAAUCUCUCCAGGUGCUUUGUAUGCACAAUAAAGUUUGAGAAGCACUGGCUUAUAAGAUAAAAUCAGAUCUCUUUAGCCUUCUAGUCAGAGGUCUCUAAACAAAUUGGCCACAACCAGAGUUUCUGAGCCCUCUCUUAACCUGCUCCACUGCAUUAUGUCCUGUGGUCAACAGCCUCUAGGUGGCCCUUGUGCUCCCCACCUCUGGGUAUUCAAGCUCUCAUGUCAUUCCCUCCCCUUGAGUGUGGCUGCAUUUACUGACUUUCUUCUACCAGAUAGAAUAUGGUGGAAGUGAUGGGCUGUCACUUUCAAGAUUAGGCUGCACAAAGACUAUGGCUUCUGGCUCAGAGGCCCUCUCUUCCUCAGAAUUCUCAUUUUAUGGCCAAUUCUGAGGGACCCUAGGGGAGAUGCCCUGUGAGGACUCAAGGCCUGUCAACAUCCACAUGAGUGAGCUUGAGGUGGAUCCUCUUCCAGUCAAGCCUUGAGAUGACUGCAGCCCCAGCCAACACCUUGACUGCAGCCUGACGAGCAUCCUUGAGUCAGAAGAUCUAGUUCAACCACAUCUGGAUUGUUGAGCCACAGGAAUGAUGCGAUAAUAAAUGUUGUUUUGAGGUGAUUUGUCAUGCAAGAAUAGAUAUCUAGUACACCCACCUGCGAUAGCCUCCCUCCUCCUUCCCACUUCUCCAAGUCCCGUGUCUUUCAAGCCUCAGCUGUUCUCUGAAAUUUUCCCCUCAGUGAUUGAUCCUUUCAUGAACUCCUAGAGCACUGCACGUGAGUCAGCAACAUGUGCCGUUGUAUAGUAUGUGCUGUCUUGUGUCGUAUUCUUUUGUAGUCUUUAAUUGUAAUUUCUAAUGCUCUGCCUUUUAAAAAUAAAUUGUAAACUCAUUGAUGGGAAUAGAACUGAGAGUAGAACUUGCCUUAGAAUUCUUUUUGUUCCCAUGACCUAUCCUAUUACCAUGAAUUCAAUAAGUGACCUAUAAAAUCAUAUGAUGAAGAUGAUAGUGUAUUGAAAGAAAUAUUGACUAGAAGGCGCUGGGGGAGUUGACUUUUAGUGGUAGUUUUCACACUCAUGUCUACUCUGUGUCCUAAUGCCUGAGUUUUAACCUUGUGUGGAGAGAGGGCUCCAGGCAGAUACUAGAGCAGAACAAAGCACUGGCUACGAGAGCCAGCAGCAAGAAGGCCCUUGCUUGAUGACUAUUAAUGUUUGAUCUUUAAGCCCCCUGCCUAGAAUCUGCUCUGUGGGUUCCUCCGGGCCUUGGCUCCCUAUAGUCCCAGACUUCCUUGGCUCACCCAUUUCAACUUAGGACUUAGGACUCUGUUUUUUAAUUUGUAUUUAGUUGAUUAAUGAUCAACUCAGAAAUCCCCGACUGCCACAAGUAUUUGUCUCCAAGAUUUCCCUCAGCAGCCAGCAGGAAGGAAGCCUGCGUGUCACCUGUUUCUGCCCACCCCCGUGGGUCCCCAGGACUCCUCUGCAGCUAAGGGAAGAUAUAAAACAUUCAAUACCUGAAAUCGUUAUGGAAACAUUCCAGAAAAUGACUCUAUUCAUCCUUCUUUGCAGAGUAAGAGUUAAAGCUAUCUCUAAUAGCUUUGGAAAUUUUGAUUAGGAUGGUAAUGGAAAACCAUCCUUGCUUUAUCUAGUCUGUGCACAAGAGCCCUGUCGCAAUAAAGACAGCGAUGAGCUACGGCACUCGGGACAGUAAAAGUUCUGUUUAUCUCAGCUGUCUCCACAAUGAGAGGGCCUAUUCAGUAGUGAAAGCUAUUAUUUUCAGGCUUUCCUCAGGAGUCAGUGAGAGACAGGUGCAGGGCCCCGUUGGUCUCUCCAUGUAAAUCCUAAAAACUUCUACCCUCUUCAACUGAUGAAGAACCUCCUCUAAACCAACUGCAAAGAUAAGGCCCUUUCCCCAACUCAGCUCCUGGCCUCUCUUGCUGGGUAUUACUGUGGAGGUUACCAGGCGGCCUCAUCUCAGGUGUGGUGCACACUGUAGCCCAACAGACCCUUGGCCACUUCCCCACUCAUGCUCAAUACUUCAGGCACAUAAAAAUACUUGCAGGUUUAAAGGUGUGUUAAGGCAUUCCGUAUGCCCAAUUCUUGCACUGGUUGCUCCUUCUUGCUGGAGAAAGCAUACCUUCCUUCCUUCUCCUCCCCUCCCCACCUUUACCUGAGAGAGGUAUUCCCCUGGAUUCCCUGCCAUGCUGGGUCAUGGCACUUAUCACCUCUAUUAUAAUUGUCUGAUACUAUGUUUCCUGCAUUGGACUUUAGAUUAUUCAGAACAGAAACUGUGUCUAAUUUAUGUUUGCAUUCCCAGUGCCCAGCACAGAGCUUGUCAGUAUUAGCAGUGCAUCGAUAUUUGCUGGUCCAAGCAGGAUUUCUGUCCAGAGCUUUCUGACUCUCAGGUAGCCUAGAGGGCUGGCUGCUCAUCUAGUGAAGGCUGGGAUUAGGAAAGGAUUUGCCAGGAACCCAGGAUAAAACUGGGGAAACCAUGUCUUCUGACCAUUGUCGUAGGUGCAGGGCACUCUGCCACAGCAAGGUAGCUCCUAUCUGGAUAGGACCUGUCUGUCACAGCUUGUGGCUCACUGCCCAGGGGGUAUCACUGCCCAUGUCAUCCACAUGUGAAAGGAGCACUGGCUGUGCAGGUCUAAGAGCCCAUGGUUUUGAAUCUUGCUUUGCAAAGAUCCCAAACUGGUAAGUUUACCAGUAGCAGGGCAAGUUACAUCUCUGAGUCUUGAUUUCCUCAUUUGCAAAUGGGAUAAUUGUAGUUACCCUACAGGCAUGCUGUGAGAUUGAAAUGAGAGAACAUGUGUGAAGCACUUAUUCUUGUGGUGGGCACACAUCUGUAAGCCCACCAUAGCUGCUGGCGUCUUUGUCUCGUCUCUUCUGCUUUAGCGUGGUGGGGUUAGUGACCUGGUCAUAACUCCCUGUCUGAACCACAGUCACCAGGGGAGACACAGAACUUGGCACAGUAAGUUCCUCUGAGGGAGGAGGGGUCUGCUGAGCUACGUUAGGCUGUCUGUAGACUUGGGGAAGCAAAUGAAUAAGCUGAAUGGAGCCAAGUCAGAGACAUAUGGGCUGUAAGGAUGGAAGCCACAUACAAACUAGAGCCUCAGUCUUCUUUGUCCAUAUGGGAUGAAAGAAAAAUAGGAGGACUUUCAAAAGCAAAAAGAUGCCAAGAUCAAAUCAAAUUGACUGGGCUACUAUGUGCCCAGCCCAGUGCCAUUCUCUCUGAUGGUCUCUGCCACUCUGGGGUCUUUGUAUAAAACAUUUAUCCAUAGGAUUGCCUGGACAUUGGUGGGAAAGAGUGCCAGAAAUUCUGAUUUUCUCUCUAAUUAGAAAUUUUGGGACCCAUUUUGCCUUUGAUUUGCAAAUAUAUUCACUCUUUACCCAACCCCUGUAAGUUCUUUGGGAGAGAGAGAGAGAGAGAGAGAGAGAAAUUUAGUGAAGGAAAUGAAGGAAAGCCCUUUCCUUGCUUUAUCUCUCGCUCAUUACCCUCCAACUCCUUGCACAAAGCCUCAGUAGCAGCGAAGUCAGAUGCUGAUGGGUGCCCACGAUUUAUCCCUGUUGAGGCACUCACUUAUCAGCUGCUUACCCUGUUCCUAGUUGCUCUGUUCUCUGGCAUCUCUGCUCUGUCUCCAGCUGGUUGGACAAGCAACCAAAGAACAGGAACAGAGGCAAAAGAAAGAAGAAACUACAUUUGUGUUUUCUCUUGGUCAGGACCUCAGGGGCUGGGCAUCCCGGGACGGCCUUCGGUAAGUAAGUGACUCUUCUCAGUCUAACUGGUUUGGGCUCAGAAUGCUCAGAUGCUGGAAUUACUUCUGUGUCUCUGAUUUGUUUUACUGAAAUGUCUGGGCCUCACUGGUUGUUUUAAAGCAAACACAAGAAUUUUUUGGAAAUCAGUGAGGAAUUUCAAUGGGUGUCAAGGAAAAUCACAGUGUCAUUUGUCUCUAAAAGGAUUCUGGCUGCCAAUGUUCCAUCUGCAAAUCACUUACCCAGCUGUGUGGCACUGAAUGAAGCAGCUGCUGAACAAAACAGCAUAGAGACAAGCUGGGACUUUUUUGAGUUGUAAUUCUGCUUCUGUUACUGACUUGGGACUCUGGGAUGUAAAUAAAUAAAACUUUUCAUAUUUAGUCUCAGCUCAGGGUCUAAUUCCUUUAGGAUAUUUUCCCAGCUCCCAUCACCCAACUCGUCCUGGAAUCUAAAUAGCCUAAUUUCCAUCUGUACUUUUUUCCCGGAACACUCCCAUAAUCACUACAACCAACCAUCUCUCUCUUGCUCCCACGUGUGUCUGAUCUGGCUCCUCUAUGAGACUAUCAGCCCCACCAGGGCACGAGCUCCACACUGGGAGAGAGCUUGUAUUACUUGCCUUGGUAUCCUUGGUAUUGGCAUGGCACCUGGCACAUAGUAGAUGCACAAUAUACACUGGUGAAUACAAAAAGGAACCAUGCUGAUUCCACAUGCUGAGGCUUAUGGAUAUUUGAUGAACACUUGCUAACUAGUUUAACCUUCCUGCUCACCUUUUCUUCUAUGACUGUCCUUCAAGGAUUGCAUGGGGAGAUCAGAGGGCUCCCAGGUAGAUGAUGAGGUGGUCAGGAGAGAGACUCUCAAAUAUGCCAUCAGCUCCACCACACUUUUGUGUUGAUCCAUAUGCACCACUACCAGGACACUUGCCCGUGGGCAGAGCUCACCAGUCAAUGCAUAGUUUUGUGAUGACUUUGUUCUUCUUCCCUGAAACUUUCCUUUACCUUCCAUGACAGCUGGUUUGGAGAAAGAAGAGAGAUGAUUUCUCUCACUGAGACUCUUAGUAUAGACUAAUGAAUGACGGAAUCAGAGACCUGACACAUUUUCCUAUUGUACAUGACAUGGCCUUGGUCUUUGAAGUCUGGCUCUGGGGAGGAAUUUCUGAAUUGUUCCUUACUGGCAGAGUACAAUGGGGUUACCAGAGUUGUCCGUGUCCUUUAGGAAACCUGAGCUCCCCAAUUUGGGGGACGUGUCAAUGACCGUGAGGGGCCCUGGGGAAGACUAAGGCCAGGAGGAAUAGAGACUUACACUCUUCAAACACUCGCUGGGUCUGUGCCUGUCCUAUGGGGGUUAAGACUUUGAACUGUGACCCCAAAACCAAAUUUUACAAAGGACCCCUCCCAAAUUCUUUUUUUUUUUUGCAGUAAAAAUAAGUUAUUCCUUUCCUCAAAGGAGUUGAAGGUAAGGGAAGGGUGGGUCAGAAGAAAUCUCCCCUCAAAGCUCCCAAAUUCUUUAUCCCAAGAAAAGCCUCCUGUUUUGUGUUAUUCUAUGCCCUUGAAGGGCUGUUCUUGUGGGGCACCGGGCUGAUAAGUCCAUCUGUUGGCUGCAAAUGAGAAAGCAGGCAAGACAGUGGGGGACUAGGGUUUCCACCGAUGAAUAAACACAGUAACGGAAGCAGCAGGGACCCCGCAUCUCCAGAAGAGAAAGUAGAGAAGCCAGAUCUCACCCCUCCAUCUCGGCUCAGCAGUUCACACCAAGGAGCUUCCAGGGAAGAGCCCUUGAAAACGCAGGGGCUGAUGUGGAUGUCUCUGUAGAGCCUAUUUGCUCUGGAGUCUUGGACUGAUACCCAUUUGACAGUUUUUCAGGAUGCCAUAAGCUCUAGGAUAUGCAGUGAAGUAGGCACAAAACCCAGCAUUCAAGAGUCUCCACCCUUAAGGAUCUUGUCAGAGAAGGAGGUCCCCGUACCCCAAGGACUCUGCUCCAGCUGUUGUCUCCUUGACUCAGAAGACAACAGGAUACAAAGGUGAAUCUUUGAGGACCCCAUUGAUUGACCUGCAAUGGAUUUCUUGCCUUUCUCAAUAUUAGCAUCCAUUCAUUGAUAGAUAUGUUCAUUCAUUCAAGAAACCUAUAUUGUGCUGGCCCUGGGGUAGCAGAGAGAAAAACCUCAGACUGGAUCAGCUGAGCUGUGCCUAUGGCCCUUUCAUGGAACUACAGAGGAGGACCUCCCCCUCGUCUCUCCUGCUGCAGGCCCCGGGGAUGCUAAUGUGAUCGCCAUCAGAGCUCAGAAGUACGGAGCAGAAUCGUCCCUUGGAGGAGGAUUCCCUGUAGCAUAAGAAGUUCUUACAGAAUUAAUCCUCAAAAUCCUUUGGUGGACUCUACCAGGUUUUUCUCUGGAGUUACUAGAAGAGAUGAAGGGCCCCCCAGUAUGUGAAGAUGUCCUUGUAGUGACAGCACAUACUUCGGGCCUUGUGGCUAAGUGUGCUCCCAUCCCACCAGUAAGAUCACAGCGGAUCCUGGGAGGCAAGAGCUUACACAGUCCCCCGAAAGUGCCCGUGUAGAUUCCAAAUGGAAUCAUGACACGCUGCCCUGGAAAUGAAGUGGAACGUACCAUAAACUCAGAAGCAGUGUUCGUUUUUGAGACACUCGCCAAAACUAGAGAGAAUGUAGCUAAGAAAAUGCAGCAUUUAAGGGGGACCCGGACUCUCAGAGUCUUUGAGCAAUUUUGUGGAAGUAGAAAUUUGGAAGAGAUCUUUGCUCCACUAUUGUGUGCUGCAGCCCUGCCGCCCCCGCCUCCUGCCUGCUCGCCCCCCACGCCAUUACUCCUGAUUCUCUCUGAUGAGCCUGUGUCGUCUGGAAAACGAGUUGCUUGGGCACCCCUGGGAACUGUGGCAGCUCUGGGCGGAACCAGGGAAGGGGCAUGUCAAAUGUCACUUAUUUGUGGCCUUGUCUUCUGGAGGUCAGAUGCAAGAACAAAUUUCUCAUGGGUUUCACGCUAACGCAUUUCCAAUUUAUCUGCCGUCUGAGAUUCACUUUGGCUAGACAAAUACCCGGUGGGCUUCUACCUCUCCCGCUCUUUCUUGCUAAUGUAAAAUAAGCUCAUUGGAAUGAAUAAAGGGAAUGGUAUUACUUUGGCUCAAACACUAAUGAGCGCUUUCACUUUGUCAUAGUGUAAAUAUUAAAGUUACAAGAGACAGCCCAGGGACCAACUAAUUCUUUUAAAGACCCAAAGUGCCUGCAUAGGGUCUAAAAUUGUACACUGAGGAACUACGUCUUCAUUCGGCACUGGGACUCCCAGGCUCCCUAAAAGCAAAGUCCGCAGGUGCUACCAGGGGCCAACCAGGAUGGAGCGCCUCACAGACCCCUGUGAUGUUCGAGCAGGAAAACUUAGCAGUCUUUUAGUCUACCCAUCAUUUGAUGGUGGGAGACUGAGAUUCAGAAAGUGCUCAGAGCUCAUAAUCAGCGAAGCAAGGGACCAUGAUUAGAAUGCAAGCUGGACGCCCUCCAGUUGCAUCCUUGUCUCACUCUCCCUCUUACGAGGAAAGGACAGUGAUUCCUUGAUUGCCAGAGCAGGAUAUAUUUUCAGUUUUUAGGAUAAUUUUAUUCGCCCGAAGAGCAUCUUUGUCACAUCUUUUCCUGGUCCUUCCUUAAGGAGUAUACAAUGUUUACCUACUGGUAGAUUUGUUCUAGUGGGCCUGGGACAAAUCUUAUCAAAACAUCUGCAAUGAUUCCAUUUUGUUCUGAAAUUACUGGUAAAGCAUUUCUUCUGUUUUAUUGGUCAUUUUUAAGGGGGCAGAAACCCAGGAUUAAUUGCUAUGACUACACGUCGUGCUCACCUUUGAUUCACCCCAUUCCAAUCCUCAGGACCUGGCAGGAGUGCUUGGUAUAAAUAGGUAUUGAGACUUACUGAGUUCACUUGACUUUUUUGAGGACAGUGCCAACAUAACUCUGUGUUCCAUUUAGAUUGCUUCCACUGUUCCCCAGUGGUAGGCAUCCUCUUCCUCAGGAUUUAGAAACAAAGUAUUAUUUCAGUUUUGAAUAAAAGUGGCUCAAGGAACAGAUUAUGUUUGUAGCUUGUGCUGUUGGACAGAAACAAUAAAGAGCUUUCAUUUAAGUCUGGUACAGUUUAAUUCAGAAAAAAGUUAAAGGCAGUUAUAUUUUACAUAAUAAGCAGAUUUUAGGAACUCCUUAUUCCAGGGGUAGAGUAUAUGAAUGUGUGUUCUAGCAAAAUGUAGACAAAUUUAUUUGUCUAGACAACCCACUUUAAGGGAAACUAGGAAUGUUUUCAGGGCAAAUAACAUAGUAUUUAAGAGAUGCUUUUUUAUGAGGUCAUUUUUCUCAUUAUAAAAGUAUGUUCUUAUUGAAGGAAAAAUUGUGAUUUAUAUACAAUUAUAAAAAUAAGAUGAAGAAGGAAAUCAUCUAUGAUUCGACUACCCAGAGACAACAAUGAUAUCAUUUUGGUAUAUUCCUUCCAGUCUAUGGUCUUAAGUAUAUUUUCUUACAUUGUUGAGCAUAUUGUAUAUUCACUUUUCUGUUAACCUUUUUUCCCAUUUAUAUCAGAUCAAGAUAUUUUUCCCAUGUGAUUCAAAACUCUUCAAAAUCCAAUAUUAACAUCAUAAAGUUAAUAGUAAAUUUAUAUGACAUAAUGCACUUAAAGCGCUUAGAAAUGUGCUAGUCGCAAAUCUCCAGUAAAGGUGGAUUUUGUUAUUUGCAUCUGUAUAUGAAUGCAGGUGUAUGAGGGUAGAAAAGAAAACUUAAAAAAUUCUAAAUUAGUAAUAUAUUAAUGCAUUCUUGUUAUAAAAAUUAAAAUAUUGCAAUUAAAAUAAAAAUCUCUGUUGACUGUCCUCCUUUCCCCUUAUAUAAUUCGCCCUUCCAGAGAUUACUAUUAUAAUAAUGGGGAAUUCAUCAAUAUACUUACAGUCCCUUUACUGUGUAAUAUUUAGGGUAUAUAUUGUACAAGUAUUUUUAUUAACAUAAAUAGCAUCAGACUCUAUGUUUUGUUCUGCAACUUACUUUUUUCACUCAAUAAUGCAUUUUGGAGAUCUUUUCCUGUUCUUAUGUACAGAUUCACUUCAUUUAACUAUAUGGAAUGUAGACUUACCAUAAUGUAUUAUACUAUUUUUUGCUAUAUGAUUUUGUUCCUUCCAGGAUUUUCUGACCCUAAAUUGCUGCAAUGAACUUGUACAUGCUUUCUUUUACUAUAAGGGCAAUGUUAAGACUGAGACCUUGUAACUGCUGAUUCAUAGAAUAUAUUCUUUUCCAAUAUUAAUAUUUACUCACAUAUACUUUUAUGUUGUGAUAGAAAAGAUAUCUUAGCCU